rnacentral:misc_RNA from 2 species
AAAUCUCACAAUUGAAACAUUUUUUGUUUCAAAUCGUGGACUUGGAUUUGCGAUUUGAUAAAUUGCUAAUCUGAAAUGAAUUUCAUGAAGCUUAUUAUGCUUUGAACUUUUGCUUAAUAGUUUUGCUUUGUCAAAUCUUUUGCAUUCGUUUCAAUAGCCCAGAAAGUGAAUUGAUUUUACGAAAUUAAUUAAUCUCAUU